rnacentral:lncRNA from 1 species
AGAAAGCUAGGGCUGGGUGUUUGAAACAGCAAGAAUGGAAAGGCUGAGGUCUUUGGAGUAUCACACCUGAUAAUCUACUGAACUAAAUUCAGAUUUUUACCAUCUCCUUAUAAGAUUGAGAUCUCUGCCUCCAUCCGUCUCUUGGUUAACAGAUCUGUCACAUGUCUGAUGUGUGUCGGCACUGAGCUCCAGGAGUACAGCCUGGCCCACAGAGCACUCAUCACUAAGCAGUUCUGCUGCCAAGGAGAGCAUGGAUGUCACCUGUAAGUGAAACCAUUACCAGGGAACUGCCAACCACAACUGCAGAGACACACACAGCUGAACUAAAUAGAAUGGGAGCAAUAAAGCAGAACUAUGAACUUUUUGAAAAUGAGAGCAUACUCUGAAACUAUUUUGUCCGAACAAUAAAAGAAGUGAUAUAUUAGUUAGCACAAAGAUGGGCAGCUGUAUUAAAGAUACCCAUGAAUGCAAUUGUUCAAACAAGGAACUGUUAAAAGUCCAGGAAUAGUCUUAGACAUGGGAUUUGUUAGGUCGGUGGCAGCCCGGCUGGAAAAGAACAUCAAUCAGAUGCCGGCGGAAACGUCUGUCAAUCAGCCAGAUCUCCUGAUUAACGCCUGUCAAUCAGCAGGACCCCCUGGCCAAUCCUGGAGUUCAGCCAACUCCCCUGACCAACUCCAAGGGGGCAAGGGACCCUAGAGACACCUUUUCCUGUCCUGAGCCCUUCCCUUCCUGCUGUAAGCCCCAUAAAGGUCCAGUCUGGUCGGGCUUCCACGCGGUUUCUCCUCAGACCCUUCCCCUGUCCCCUCUGUGGGUCUGAUCGAGUUCCGCCCGGGAGUGAUAUCUCAAUAAAGC